GAAAGGCAACAGGAAAGGUCUUACCAGGACACCACUCAAAAACGUCAUACCCACACCCCUGCACACAUACCACCAAUAAAGCCCCCCACUGAGCCUAUGGACAUUGGGUUUGUGAAAGGACCGCUUACAGCACAGGAGAAACUAAGACGCCGCAGUCAAAAUCUCUGCAUGUAUUGUGCAGCAGAGGACCAUGGGGUUAAGGACUGUCCUGCGCUUCAGCGACAGAGCCGCGUGGGACCAAUGUCGCCUCAACGCCAGUGGGAUCAUUGAUUCAGGAGCAACUGCAAACUAUAUUGAUGUUCAAUAUACUAAGGAUAAUAAAAUACCUUUGGUGAAAAAGCAGAA